rnacentral:snRNA from 1 species
AGAGAAUCGCUUGAACCUGGAGGUGGAGAUUGCCGUGAGCCGAGAUCGCGCCAUUGCACUCCAGCCUGGGCAACAAGA